AUAAAAUCUUCAUAAACCACAUUUGUGGGAUAAUCUCUCAUCCCAUCGUAUAACUAACCAGACUAUUUCGAUGUCACUAUAGCGUUAAAUAAUCUUGCCAGAUUGUCUUCUCGUUUACGUGCAGGAAGAGACAAUAUAAAUAAAAAAAAAGGUCUAAUGACUGCAUUGCAAGUUGUAGGCCCACUUCAGGAUGUACUCCCAGUGUGCGAUGGGGAGGGGAGAGGGGAAACGUUCAAAGAACCGCCAGGCAUUUCCCUUAUUUGGAGGAAGGCCAUUCCUCUUGUGUGUAAAGGCAGGGGAGUUUCCUGCUGGUAGCGGCUGGAGGCAGAGUCUGGGCGUAUUCUGGCAUUUUUUUUUUGAAUGGAUGCCCUUUUCCUAACCCCAGCCUAGCCCCGAUUGAGAACUUGGUGUAAUGUGUAAGGGUGGGACAUGUGAUUGGCAGGCUGGCUGCUGCAGGAGAGUCGGCGAUUGGCCGUCACUGACUGUCGCUUGUCUAUAACAGGAGCGGAGCGUGUGCUCGGGGGCUGAGUCCCCGCUACAAUCACACGGAGAUAUUCACUCAGUGUCUGCAUCAGCGAGCAAGCGGUGGGCGCUCUAACACAGCGCAGCGCAGGCAGCCAGCUCUAUACCAGCACCCGGAGGGGGGGAGAGAAAACCCUCUCAGCCGCACCUACCGCAGACCCCUCUCACCCCGCAUUAUUCAGCCACUUAGCUGGCCGCUCAGUUUUAAACCACGAUUUAAAAAUCCUUCCUUCUCUUCUCUUUCCCCACCGAGAGUUCACGGGACGAAACAAAAUGCUUUAAAACCACCAGCAGCGACGUGUGUGGUCUGAGGUUUUCUUUUAUUUAUUUUUACUUUUUUAAAACAUUAUUAUUGAACAGGGAUGAAAUAGCGACUUCCUUAAGACAGCAAGUUGCAAGCAGUGACAUCCAGUAGCAGAAUUUGUUGAAAACUUUUUUAACCCAAAAAAAAUUAACAAAACGCAGUAGCGUAACGGAGGGGACUUCCAGCCAGCAGCCUGCCAUGAGGAAAUACUGUCGAAAGAAUGCCUGACCAUCACGAUGACUUAAUCAGACCGGAUACUACAACUGAAACUCAGGCUACCAGCUGAGCAAUAGCUAUAGUAGUACAACAGUUCCUGGCCUUCCAAGGCUAAUGUGACAGUGACAGCUGUGUACUGACAAUCUCCAAUCAACGCUUCCGUGCCCAUCACUUGCUCAGUAGUCAGUGUAGAUUCUGUCUCCAUCCAGCAGCUACAUCUGGCUACUGGGUCUCUGAUGGUAUCACACUGUUCUGUUCCUGGUUCAUUUACAUUCUGGUUCAAGUGGCUUCCUGUCCAAGGUGGAUGCACUGGAAGAUAAUAUGUUCAGAUGGACUCUGCAAUUACUGAGUUGAAGUCCUGCUGAUGUUACUGUUGUCCUUAGUAAUGGAGGCUUAUAGUUGUAACUGUACUCCAUAAGGUGUCAGAUUUAACAAAGUUUGGGGUGUUGGGGAACAGGCAAUUAAUAAGCAACAUCCAAUUCUAAUAUGGAUCGUUACCUUCAGAUUAAAUAACUCCAACUGCAGUCAGUAUCUUGUUGCAUUCCUCUUGGUUGAGCUCUUUCAUCUUGUAUCACUUAACUUUUUUGUGCUUAAUUAGUUAUUCUUUGAAAUGUGACCAAUAUAUGUUCAUCUCUUCUGGAUUGUUUAUCUGUGCUGUCUGAAACACGCUUUCAUUUGUUACUUUGCAAGCUGUAUGAUUAGACAUCAAUCCUUGUGAGCACCUGCACUGGAAGAUGUUGAAAUCAUUCGGACUGCACUGAGACCACUUCCUUUCUCAACUGUAUCGGUGUCGAUCAAGUCAAAAUGAUUCCUCUCAACUGUUUUUCACCAAUCGCAUUUGAUUCCAAAAUUAAGUGAACCAUUUAAAAUGCUGCGCCAUCCUUUACCCUGCUGAGCUUUGAUGUCUUACUGGAGAGCUUAAGUGGAUAAAAAGUAUAUCUAGCUCACGGUCAGUCACCUUGCAAGUGUUUAUUUUUGAAAAUCAUUUUACUCUCUAGUUAGAAGUUUAUAAGAUUGAUCCGCAAUCUUAACUCUUAAGAUUCCAGUAAUAAAAACUAAUGUUUAGUUUCUGUGGAAAGCAGAGUUUUAUUAGGCUGGACCCAUAACAACCUUCCCCCACCUGGACUAUGAGUAACUUCAGAGAUUUCCAGCAAUAAAUUUUGAAAUUCCAAAGGACUGUUUACACUUUUGAUCCUAUUAUUUCUCAAGAUUGUGAUUAUAUACUAUUUAGUGAUUAAUAUUGAGAAUGUUACAAUUAACGAGUAACCCAGGUUAAAAUUAAUUCUCAUGCAUAAAAUCUACAAUUGAAAAGUUAAAGGAACAGAUGACCAAUAUGUAGGUGCCCAGAUGCUUCGUUUUUCUCACUAUGUCCCAACAAACUCCGAAGAUGAUGGGCGCAGUGACAGUUUGUCUUCAUCCAGUCUCAGUUUACAUUCGACUAUUUGAAAUUCUGUUCUUUCCUGCAAAAACACAAUUCCCAUUGUAUUGCACAGUAUACAGGUAACCUGUAUCCAUCCUCCUCCCCAUGAGCUCUCAAGAGCGUUGUCACCAAUGUUUUCAGUGACUUCUCCAUUGCUGCUGAUAGUUUUAUUAAGGAAAACAGUAUUUACAGAUUAGGGUUGCUAACUCCAGGCAGCCACAUUCUGGGGAAUGUUCUCACACGCCCUCCUGCCUUUAACUGUCCCUUCUCCCAACUUCUCUCAUUGGUUGCCCAACAUAUCUGUCAUUAUGGAGCCUGGCUUUUCAAUGUAUCCUGCAUUUUGACUUGAAGAACCUGGUCACCCUCCCUGUAUGUUUAAUAAUUUUGAAGUCGUCAAUACAGACCAUUUGCAAAGAUCAGUAACAGCCCCUAGUGGUAAGAUCAAGUUCUAUAUCAUUCCUUUUUUAUUUCUCUGCAUAUCACUACUUCACCUUAUGAAUUUCUUAAUUUGUUCAAACCAUGUGCAAUCUUUCCUAUCCACUCAGCCUUUUUCAAUUCUUGUGAUAUUCUGACAUAACUCAAAUAGAAUUUCUGGAUAUAGGUCAAUAGACCAUAGUGUGUUCAGAGUGGUGAAAUGUGAAGUUACUACUGACCUGAGGAAGACUAGACAUUCUAGGAGGAGUGGUGGAAAGGAAAAGCCUAAGAUCUGUGCUGGGAAUACAUAGUACCUCAUUUUGGAUGGAUCGCCUCCCAUCUAUAGGCGUAUUUUAAAUGUUUGUGUUACAUCAACCAUACAAAGGUGUUUCAGAAUUCAAUUUGCAUGUUCAUUGUCACCUUCCCACACAGUGUAUUCUGUCUCAAAAUGCACAAUUUUCCCUAUAGACAAGUGCAUAGAGACUUGCAAGUGAAAACAACACCUACCUAGACGUAGUCACUCAGGAGUUCAGCAAUGAAAUGCCAUUAUCUUUGCAGUUUCAUCUAAUUUUCAAGGAAGAAUACUUUACUCCAUUAAACUGAUACAAUGUAAUCCAUUGUAAUGGUGGUGAUUACAAUCAGAGAUACACUAUAAAGCAUUGAAAUCCCAGUACAUCCAUUGCAUUGCAAUGAGAGUGCAGCCAAAUAUUUUAGUAGAUUGGUUUUUCUUGUCAUGUACAAUGUGGGAAAAAUUCCAAUUCUGGUGAGAAAUCAAGCUACUUUGAGCAGGCUGAAGGCAGUCCAUGACAGGGACUUAUGUUUAUCCAGGUUUGGGCCUGAACCUGGCAUACAAUGUAGAAUUCUGUGUUUGUAUACCAACAGCUACAUUGUCUGCUGGGUUUCAGGCUACUUGGAACAAUUGAGAAUCAUUUGAACAUUGCAACGUGGCUAACUGGAAUGAAAUGUAAGUAUGUGUAAGUUUUAUAUCAAACACUAAUCUGUCACCAGUUUUGGACAGCCUAGUUGCUCUGAAUUAAGGAUCCGUUCCAAUACUGCCUAUCACUACAAUCUGCCAGAAAAACAUUGAAUCAGUUUCUUAGCUAAGUAUAAUAACCAAGUGAAAUGUCCCAACUGUAGUUACCUGGGAAACUGAGGUGUUUUGUUUAACCUGUCUUAAAAGCAGCCACUGAAGCUAUUGGAUAUUUGUAUUGAAUAACUGAUCAAUAAUGACUGCCUCCUCUUGCAUGUCUUUUCAGUUGACAGAUGAGAAAUGACAUGCAUGGAUGAGGAAAUUCUAAAUGUCAAAAACUGUCCAUGGGACCAUAAAUUGUAAGAGUCCAGAUUAGAGUAGUGCUGGAAAAGCACAACAGGUCAGACAGCAUUCGAGGAGCAGGAAAAUCGACGUUUCGAACAAAAGCCCUUCAUCAGAGUCUAGUCUUGACUCUAAUCUCCAACAUCUGCAGUACCCACUUUCGCCAUAAAUUGUAAGAGGCAAUUGUGCCUGUGUCAGCCCCACAAAAAAGCAUUCGGUUAGUCCUACUCCAUGGUUUUGCAUUUUGUUCCCUUUUUUCAAAUACUAAUCCAAUCCCUUUUGAAAAUUAACUAUUGAGUUUGCUUUCCAUUUGAAAUAACUCCAUAGAGGCUUACACCCCAUCACCAAGUCACCCCUUACUUCAAAUAUGGAGAGUUCUGUCAGCUCAGAGUGAACAGAAUGUCUGUCUGAUACCCCUGUUCUUAUCUGUCAGCCAGGGCUCCCCGAUGGUGGCUGUUAAUCUGGUCCAACCAUGGAACUCAUGUAUUCUGAUGUCCACCUGGCUGACUUUGUUACAAUCACUACACUGAUCAUAGGUAACUCAUAGGAAGCAACUUAUCUCCACUCUAAAUCUUAUUAUUCUAAAUGCUUCACUAUAAAAGCUGUUUUUGAAGUACUGAAAUUUCCAGUGGUGGUGGUAUUGAGACCAGACUCUUCAACAUUUAAAUUCAUAAGUGGAGUACAUAAAGUUGCUCAUUCACCAAAUUAAGUGCAGUACAUAUAGUUCCACAAUGGAACAUUUGUCAUUGAAUUUUUAAAAUAUGUGGGAUGGAGCAGCCAACCAUUAUUUUAUGAUGUCCACUUUAAAUUGAAUGUUAGUUUACAGGUUGUAUCCAUAAUCCAGUAUUACAGUCUAAAUAUGUGUAUGAUGGUAUUGAUUAAUAAAAGAAUUAA